GACGAACGCUGGCGGCGUGCCUAACACAUGCAAGUCGAACGAGGUCCAUCCUUCGGGAGAAGACCUAGUGGCGAACGGGUGAGUAACACGUGAAGAACCUGCCCCGAAGACCGGGAUAACCCUCCGAAAGGAGAGCUAAUACCGGAUACCCCCACCGAACCGCAUGGUUUGGUGAGGAAAUGGAUUCCGCUUCGGGAGGGCUUCGCGGCCUAUCAGCUAGUUGGUGGGGUAACGGCCACAAGGCAUCGACGGGUAGCUGGUCUGAGAGGACGAUCAGCCACACUGGGACUGAGACACGGCCCAGACUCCUACGGGAGGCAGCAGUGGGGAAUCUUGCGCAAUGGGCGAAAGCCUGACGCAGCAACGCCGCGUGGGGAUGAAGGCUCUCGGGUUGUAAA
rnacentral:rRNA from 1 species